GAAGGGGGCUAGCGUUGCUCGGAAUCACUGGGCGUAAAGGGUGCGUAGGCGGGUUUUUAAGUCAGGGGUGAAAUCCUGGAGCUCAACUCCAGAACUGCCUUUGAUACUGAAGAUCUUGAGUCCGGGAGAGGUGAGUGGAACUGCGAGUGUAGAGGUGAAAUUCGUAGAUAUUCGCAAGAACACCAGUGGCGAAGGCGGCUCACUGGCCCGGUACUGACGCUGAGGCACGAAAGCGUGGGGAGCAAACAGGAUUAGAUACCCGGGUAGUCCACGCCGUAAACGAUGAAUGCCAGCCGUUAGUGGGUUUACUCACUAGUGGCGCAGCUAACGCUUUAAGCAUUCCGCCUGGGGAGUACGGUCGCAANANGG
rnacentral:rRNA from 1 species